ACAAUUCUCAUGUCUAAUACAUUUUCAGGUGAGGCUGAUGUUUUUGGUCAGGGGACCACACUUUGAGGUCCAGAUUGGAGACAGUGCACCCCUUUUAGACACUGUUUUGCUCUUCAUAAUGGGUAAGCAGAUCUGCUCCUUCCAAAAUAACCUUGCAGCCAACAGCUGAGUCCAUUUGUUUGUUCACACAGCAGCAAGAUGUCCAACAAGUCCCUAAAGGAGCUAAUGAGCAAUAUGGAUUCACCUCGUCGUUGUCUGUCAGAGGAAAGGCUUCCAUGCUUGGAUUGCUAUGAAGAUUAAAUGAAGUAAACUACAAAAAGUAAUAGCAUCUGCCUGGCACCUACUAAGGCUCCAGGAAAAGCCUGGAUCCAGAGUAAAGAAGACUUGGAACAGAGCUGCUGCUGGCAAUGUGAGCAAGAAGUAAACCAUCGUGGUGGUUGCCCGCUGAGACCUUGGUGUUGUUUGUUCUGCAGCUACCCUGGUGAAACCUGACUAAUACACAUGAUAAAUAUUUUUAUACAAUUUUUAAAAUUAAGGUAUUAUUGAUAUACACUCUUAUGAAGGUUUCACAUGAAAAACAAUGUGGUUACUGCAUUCACCCAUAUUAUUGAGUCUCCCCCCCACAUACCCCAAUGCAGUCACUGUCCAUCAGUGUAGUAAGAUGCCACAGAGUCACUACUUGUCUCAAAUGAAGAAAUUGUAUGUAAUUGCCAGAUAAAGCAAGUAGAAGUUUCCUCUGUAUUGUAAAAGAUGAGGAGGAGGUAAGAAUUAUGGUUAAAGGAAGAGCUAGAAAAGUCUUAUUCAAAGGAAAAGAGAAAGAGUCAUAAAAAUACUUCCUGGACUUUAGAAAUACUGGUGCUUACAAAUGUGUUACAGGAUCAGAGGAGUAAAAAGAACAAAAUGGCAAGAAAGAGGUAAAACAUUAAAGGAAAUGUGAAAAUACUCUAUUUAUAUAGAACUCAAAAGACUCCCUGAUGUUGGGCAGGAAUAUAAAAGGAAUAUUAUUAAACCAAUAAAGCGUGGUUGUUAAUUACCUAGAGGCUGAGCAGAGUUGUGUGUGUAAGACACAGCUGGGAGCAUCUCUGUCCUUGAGACUUCUGAUUUGAAGCCACUGUGUUCUUUCUCAGAGGCACCUUAGCAUGCCUUGCCCGUCCUCAUCAGCAGGCACACAGGCUUCCUGCUGAACUCCAGUUUCAGAACGACCUUUGAGGGUGUCCCCAGGGAUCCAGACACAUAGUUCAACAACCAACCUCUCAAUUUAGUGAGCAUCCAGCUACUGGCUUUCCCAGCGUGGCAAAAGACUGAAGCAACUGGCUUAGCUGGGUAUAAGGAGAAAAAAGGUGGCAGAGUAAAAGCCCCCGGUGGCCUCCCUCCAACACCUCUCAGGUGAACAACAGCAGAGACAAAAUGACAGAGCGAGCAACAGAAGAACAUGCCAUCUAAAAUGAAUCUGGCAGAUUUGAGCAAACUGGUAGUAGGUCCCAGACACACAGAUAUCUGUGACCCAUUAAAGGAAGACCUUGAGAGCCCCCUCCUAUCUCCCGGAUAUUAAGUAGGUGUAACUUUCCUAAAAGUGACUGACAUGAUCUAGAAGGGUCUGGCCAAUGUCUUUACUUGGAAAGAUGAGGACUCCGGGCAGAGGUGGACUCAAGAGACUUAGGGAAGAUUGAACCUGGACUUGUCUUCGAGCCCUGGGGUGGUGGGAACCUGGGUGGGAGGGGACCCAGGAAUCUCACCACUCUUAUUUUCUCCGAGCCAGGCUCCCAACCCAAACCAAGCAAGGUGAGGAGAGGAGAACUGGGAGUGACGCUCUGACAUCACCCUUGCACAAGGCCAGCUGAACAGAGA